rnacentral:misc_RNA from 1 species
GAUGAAGAACGUAGCGAAAUGCGAUAAGUAAUGUGAAUUGCAGAAUUCAGUGAAUCAUCGAAUCUUUGAACGCGCAUUGCGCCCGCCAGUAUUCUGGCGGGCAUGCCUGUCCGAGCGUCAUUUCAACCCUCAAGCCCCCGGGCUUGGUGUUGGAGAUCGGCGAGCCCCCCGGGGCGCGCCGUCUCCCAAAUAUAGUGGCGGUCCCGCUGUAGCUUCCUCUGCGUAGUAGCACACCUCGCGCUGGGAAACAGCGUGGCCACGCCGUAAAACCCCCCACUUCUGAAAGGUUGACCUCGGAUCAGGUAGGAAUACCCGCUGAACUUAAGCAUAUCAAUAAGCGGAGGA